GACGAACGCUGGCGGCGUGCUUAACACAUGCAAGUCGAACGAUGAAGCCGGAGCUUGCUCUGGUGAAUUAGUGGCGAACGGGUGAGUAACACGUGAGUAACCUGCCCUUGACUCUGGGAUAACUGCGGGAAACUGUAGCUAACACCGGAUACGACCCUCGGAGGCAUCUCCUGGGGGUGGAAAGAAUUUCGGUCAAGGAUGGACUCGCGGCCUAUCAGCUAGUUGGUGAGGUAAAGGCUCACCAAGGCGACGACGGGUAGCCGGCCUGAGAGGGUGACCGGCCACACUGGGACUGAGACACGGCCCUGACUCCUACGGGAGGCAGCAGUGGGGAAUAUUGCACAAUGGGCGCAAGCCUGAUGCAGCAACGCCGCGUGAGGGAUGACGGCCUUCGGGUUGUAAACCUCUUUUAGCAGGGAAGAAGCGAAAGUGACGGUACUUGCAGAAAAAGCACCGGCUAACUACGUGCCAGCAGCCGCAGUAA
rnacentral:rRNA from 1 species